AAAAAUGUAAUGGAUGAAUUAUAUUGAAAUAAAAUAGUACUUGAUGUAUGAAAGUGAAAUGUUUUAAAAAUAUUGUAAGGAAUUGAAAUCGACCCCAAACCUGAGAGGGUAAAAUAUAAUUUACACUAAAUAAAAUGUUAAACAUCAACCAUACAAUUUAAUAAUUACAAACGCAUCAGAAUACAAAAUAGAAAUAUUCAUUUUUCCUUUUAGUUGUGAGUGAUUCACAUAGAACUAGUUCACUGUUUCAAAGCAUUCUAAUCCAAUAAUAUAUUGUCAUGUAUAAAUUUUUUUUUCCAUGGCAAUACGUUAUUGGACCAGGACACCAUAGUGACAGUAAAAUUGUUCUAUGUAAGUUACUCUACCAGCUCGUUUGAAUGUGCUUUUAAAAUGAAUAAAAGCGUUUUUGGUUAAAAUAUUUUUAGAAACAAUUCUUAGUAAAAAUGUAAGUAAAUCUUGAAAAAGCACUUAAAAUGCUUCAUGUAAGAAGCACAUAACUGGUGCUUCUUGUAGAAAACACUUGAUUAAUUGGAGCCCAAAAACAAUUUCUCCAAAAGUAUUUUCAGUCAUUUUAAAAACAUAUCCAAACGAAUCCCAAGUCUAGUAUUAUUUUUUGGGCGGGGCAAUGCCUAGUGCUUCUUGUCUUCCGCACAAGAAACAGUAAAUGUUGCAUGACUCUUCAUUCAAAUAAUGUUUGGCCCAUUCGGUUCACGUGUUAGAAGUUUGAGAACGGAGUUAAAUUUAAAGGUAAAAAGAGCAUUUCCAGUGAGGGGCUUUAUAUAGGAUUGGAAAAGUAGUUGAUAUAGCCCAUUUAAGAGCUCUAAGGGAUCUUUAAGGCUUUAUAAAAGAAUCUUUCCUAAUGAGAGACUAUUCCCUCCGGGCUUUGUAUGGGGCUUUAUAUAUUUAUUUAUGUAAUAAUUUGAUUAUGCGAUAAAUUUUUUUGAGUUAACUUUUCUUAAGUUGAUUUUUGGACGUGUUAUCUUAAUUUUUUUAUGAACCUUCCAACCCAAAAAAGAUCAAAUUCUGACAAAGUUAGAUUUCAUCUGUUCAAACCCUCACAUCGCCCUCUGAAAUAAUUUGAUUUUCACGUAUAACAAUAAUUU
rnacentral:lncRNA from 1 species